UACGUAGGGUGCGAGCGUUGUCCGGAAUUAUUGGGCGUAAAGGGCUCGUAGGCGGUCUGUUGCGUCGGGAGUGAAAACUCAGGGCUUAACCCUGAGCCUGCUUCCGAUACGGGCAGACUAGAGGUAUGCAGGGGAGAACGGAAUUCCUGGUGUAGCGGUGAAAUGCGCAGAUAUCAGGAAGAACACCUAUGGCGAAGGCAGCUCUCUGGGACGGUACUGACGCUGAGACGCGAAAGCGUGGGGAGCGAACAGG
rnacentral:rRNA from 1 species